CCUCUGGGUGGACCCCUGCCCACAGAUGGGCCCCGUCAGCAGCUCACAGCGUGCAGGAAGAUGAAGCAAAAGAAAAAUACCGACUGCAGGCCAAGAAGAAAGAAGAAAUAUUGGCUUUGCUGAGGAAACAGAGGGAAGAAAGGGUCGCGGUACGUCUGGUGCCUUCGGGUUACGCUCUGACUCCCUUGGGCCACGUUCCCGGUGUGCCUCGAGAAAGAGCUGAUUUCUCGUCCACAUAAACCAAAGAUGAAAAGCGAUCAAGUAAGCAGGCAGAAGGUGUCUGAAGCAGAGCGCGAGGAUCGAGAGGCAGUGAAAGCCCUCAGAUAGUUCAGCUCUGUCAGCCGCGCACAUCUCUGCUUUGGUGACAUCUCUUGUUGUUUGCACUGACACUCAGCGUGACGGACGACGGCUGGGAGGGGAUUGCAGCAGCUUGGCAACCUCGCCACACGUCUCCUCGUUCUGCUGAAGUUAAAAUAAACACUAAGUUUGGGAAACGUACGGAGCUGUGGUGCCCUAAUGCGAUGGCAGCAGUUUUGGUGUUAUUCCAAGAACUCCCAGUGUACUGGUGCACCUUUAGGACAAUGACGAAGGCUCAAGUUCAGCCCUAAGCCCAGGCUGCGUCAGCUCAGGUGCUCAGCUCUUCCUUGUAUUCCAAGCAUUUCCAUAUGACCAAAUUGCUUGAUGACAGUGAAGAUGUGUCAUCUUUACGGAGAUGCCACACUUUGAAGUGUUGUCUUCUAAAAGACAUGAAACUGGUUGUCUUAGCAAAUUAUCGGUCCCAUUCUGCUGAGAUUCAAGUUCAUUCAUCAGUCAAAUAGCUCUUGUCUGUAAAGCCAAAGUGCUUGGGCAUUUCCUAAACCCAGACCCUGGUCACCAAGGACAUGGGAAACGCAAAGUGAGGUCCCCGAAUGCCAUCAAUGCGUUUUGCAGAGAUGAUACAGACUGUGCAAAGCCACAGCGACUUCCUCAGUGGUUCCCAACCUGUGGUGACCUGGGUCCCAUUCCCUCCCUUGCCUUCCCCUUGCCUUCCCCUUGCCUUCCCCUUGCCUUCCCCUUGCCUUUCCUUUUCCCUUUCCUUUUCCCUUUUUUUUUUCCUUUCCUUUCCCCCCCUUCCUUUCCUUUUUUUUUUUUCCUUUCCUUUUCCCCCUUCCCUUUCCUCUCUGUGAUUUGUGUUUGGAAAGUUACCCAGCAGAGAAGUCUGGACAGUGAUUGUGUUACCCCAGGUGUACUCCAGUACACAACAAUGCUGCUUUACUCCUUUAGAUGCUAAAUGUUUUUCUUCUCUAAAAGCAUGACAUGCUCGCCUCUCAUUUUCACAGCAAAUUUCGAUGUUUUGCACCAACUUUGUCUGUUUCCUAAUUUAAAGACGGGAUGCAGAGUCCUCUGGGUGGGGAGAUGCGGAGGGGAAGAGGAAUGGGGACCCGAGGGGAGCAGGGUCCUGCAGCGUGCCAUGGCCAGUGCUGGGGGUGAGGGCAGCCCCUCAGCUGCUCCCUGCUGGCACUUUGUCAGCUGGGGCUUCAGUUCUUGCUCCUCCCCUGCAAGCAGAGCACUCAGCAGGGACACAGCCAGCUCUGCCUGGGGGACCAGUGCCUACAGGCUGUGAAAUCCACAGCAUCCCCUCUGAUCCCAAUGGAGACAGCACACAGCAGGACCCACACAGGCAGCGCGGCAGGGCGAGCGCCUAGGAGCCCUCCCAGCUUCAGUCCAUCCCCAUCCCACCUCUCUUUGCACCCCAGGAGGGCUGGGGGUCCCUGGGGCCUUUCAUCUCUCUCUCUUUUCCCCCUGGUUUGGUUCUGGUUUUCUGUGUUUUUGCACAGGGUGUGCGGGGUCUCAAAGCACACUGGUUGGCACACGUGCAUCCUCUGCCCAUCAGGUCAAGCUGAAAACAAGCCAAGCCCCAACUGUUGGGUUGGAGGCAGUGGUUUUCCUUCCCCAGAGCACCUGUCCAUGUGGCUCAGUCCUGGGUUGCUCUGUUUUCCUGCCUGCUGCCUUUCUGCCCAGUUUAGCAGAGCCCAUCACCUCUGCUGGGCAGCCCCUGGGAGCACACAAGAAGCUGCAGGCUCAGCCCUCAGCGCAUGGCAGCAGCUCUGUAACCAUUUAACUGGUAUUACAGCUGGAAGAAUAAAUGCAGCAGGGGCCCUCAGCAAACAUUGUCUUCCCUGCAGCCCCCACUCAGCUCUGCCGCUGCUUUGGAGCCAAGUGGAACAGAGAGCACUCACUCAAGCAUUUCUGUGCAGAGCCUCACGCUGCUGUACGACAAUGCUCAAGCACCCAUGUGUGGCUCUCAGCUGGAUUCCAUGGAGCAUUAGGCAUACAGGAGCACCAGUUAUACUUGAUUAAGUCAUUAUCGUGCUCUUAACUGAGACUGGGAGCAGAGUCCACAAGCACGUGCCAAGCAGCAUGCGUAGGGCUGGCCUCCCAGCCAAGGCAAGGCGCUCCCACAGCAGAAGCUGCCAAGAAAGGAAAAGCUGCAUCACCAGCCUCACCAUUCCCCUCCCACCCCUCCCCUAAUUGCAUUUUCCUUCCCCAUUUU